rnacentral:misc_RNA from 1 species
UCUCCGUAGGUGAACCUGCGGAGGGAUCAUUACUGAGUGAGCGCUCCGGCGCGACCUCCAACCCCAUGUUUUCCGACUCUGUUGCCUCGGGGGCGACCCUGCCUUCGUGCGAGGCGCCCCCGGAGGCUCAUCAAACGCUGCAUCUUUGCGUCGGAGUCUUAAUGAAUUUAAACAAAACUUUUAACAACGGAUCUCUUGGUUCUGGCAUCGAUGAAGAACGCAGC